CCCCAACCAAGAAACUACUUGACCUUGCACUUUCCAGGUGUUGGACGACCUGUUGAAGACUCCUGUCCGUUGACCAGCAUACGCAUUCCUGGGACCAGCCCGUAGGGAGAUCUGAAAAGCUGGAUGCAACAGAGCUUUUGGUAUCAAGGUUAUACUAGACUUAUGAGUUGGGGAAUGUUUCCUCUUUUUUUAUUUAUGCUCCGAAAGAGUUUAUAGAAGAUGGAACUAUUUGAUCCUUCAGCAUUUGGUACAACUCGUCGGCAAAGCCAUACAAGCCUGGAGAUUUCUUUGAGUGAAGAUUUUUGACUACAGAUUGAACUUAUUUGAAGGAUCUUAGUUCCCCAACCAGGGAUAGAACCUGUGCCCCAUGCAGUGGAAUUGCACAGUCUUAACCACUGGAUCGCCAGGUAAGUCCAAUUCUGUUAAUCUUGAUGUUCAAGUCUAUAUUAUUCCUAAGCUUUUGUCUGCUCUUUUCCACCAAAUACUAAGACAAGUGUGUAAAAUUUCCGACUAUGAUUGUGCAUUUGUUUAUUUCUCCUUUGAGUACUGUAGAUUUUUACUAUAUAUAUAUAUAUAUAUUUGUGUGUGUGUGUGGCUGUGUUGUGUCUUCGUUGCUGCGUGCGGGCUUUCUCUAGUUGUGGCAAGCGGGGGCUACUCUUCAUUGCAGUGCGAGGGCUUCUCAUUGUGGUGGCUUCUCUUGUUGAGGAGCACAGGCUCUAGGAGCGCAGGCUUCAGUAGUUGUGGCACGCAGGCUCAGAAGUUGUGGCUCACGGGCUCUAGAGCGCAGGCUCAGUAGUUGUGAUGCAAGGGCUUAGUUGCUCCGUGGCAUGUGGGAUCCUCCCGGACCAGGGCUCGAACCCGUGUCCCCUGCAUUGUCAGGCGGGUUCUUAUCCACUGCGCCACCAGGGAA